rnacentral:rRNA from 1 species
UGCAGAAUCCCGUGAACCAUCGAGUCUUUGAACGCAAGUUGCGCCCAAUGCCAUUAGGUUGAGGGCACGUCUGCCUGGGUGUCACAUAUCGAAGCCUUUUGCCAAUUUCCUAUUCUUAGGUGUUGUGCAGGGUGAAUGUUGGCCUCCCGUGAGCUCUCUUGUCCCAUGGUUGGUUGAAAAUUGAUGCCUCGGUAGCGUGAGCCAUGAUAGAUGGUGGUUGUGCGACCCACAAAACCAAAUCAUGUGCCUGCUCUAUCGAAUUUUACCCACAUGCGUUAAUAAACGCUCGUGAUGAGACCUCAGGUCAGGCGGGGCUACCCGCUGAAUUUAAGCAUAUCAAUAAGCGGAGGAAAAGAAACUAACAAGGAUUCCCUUAGUAACGGCGAGCGAACCGGGAUAAGCCCACCAUGAGAAUCGAUCGCCCUCG